UAGUUAGUUGUCGAUUGCAAUUAUCAAUUAUGGCUUUCCAAUCGAGCAGCUUAGUAUUAUCUUCUUCAUCAACGUGCAACUUUCUUCCAUGGACUGACACUCUCCAAAUUCCAAUUCCAUCUUUCCACUCGGAGCCGCUGUAAAUGUGGAUUAUCCGCUGAAGAUGAUUUCAAAUUUGUGCUUCAUGAUGCGCUUGAUUCUUCCGGCAUCGAUGCGUCUCACGCGCCAGGGCUGCAAGGGUAGGCUUUUGCUCGCUGAUAAAAGAGUUCUCUGACAUUGAGAGAGGAACAAGUAUCGCUGUUAAUAGAGGGGUAGAUUUAGCCAGAGCAGCUCUUCAUAUCACAGCUGAAGAUGACCCCCUCAUCUCGCACUCUUCUGUUCCAUUGCCAGUUGAUUAGAUUAGAUACCCUCUCCAUGGGAUUUUGCUCUCAAUACAGCUCCUCAUUUAGAUCCUCACCCGACAAUUUUCUUGACUGUUUAGAACGAUACCUAUACCUCUGUUUCCAUGCUCUCCCUUAUAUACUCAGAGAUUCUACAGAUUCUUCACAUGUUGGGUGUCCUGAAUUUUGAUGUAGAAAUCUUCUUUCCCCGUGAUUUACAUAGUUCUCCCAGAGGGUAUCUAAAACAAAAGAGCAAAGAAUCUGAUCAAUCACAUAUUAUGACAUCACAAUCUUUACUAGUGGAGGUGAUAAUUUUGUUAAUUGCUGUCUAGUUAAAUAUGGGCCAUAUGAUCCUUUACGGAAGAUACUGAAAGAUUUAAAGAAUGCUUUCUGGCCAUAUCAACUUGAUCAUGCUAGGAGUUCAUUCCUAAGGGCCGCAGAAGCUGCUCAUUGCGUCACUGGUGCCAACAAUGCUAAUGAAAGUGCCUCAUGGCUUGCCUCUGCCAAGGUUGCCCGCCAUCGGCUGCAACGAGGUUUUGGACUAGUGUUCAUUUUGGAGAUAUGCGUCGUGCAUUAUCAGUAGCAAACUGGUUCGGACACCAAUGUCGAGGAAGAAGCCGUAGAGAAACUAGUAGUACGACUGAACCUGAUUUUGAUGGAGGUUGGUUGGUCAAAACAACCGGAGCCCAGGAAUAUCCUUUUCAAAAACUCUGAACCAUGGUAAUAUCCAGGUCUUAUUUCAUUUUGCUAAUGUUGUAAUAUAAUGUGUACAUAUCAUAUAUAUUCCCUUGUAUAAUUGUAUUUGUAUAGCUGAUGAGUUUAUAUUAGAGACACAUAGGAAAUAGUUUAUGGGAAUCCAGCCUCUAUUUUUGUUGUUCUCUUAUUUCCCCAUUUCAGUUGACGAGUUGCAGAUAUGGCUGAUAUGGCGAAAAUUAUCUAAAUCGGUUAGAAAAUAUAUUUUCAACUUGAGCAUCAAAAUGACAUUGAAAUGGCUCCAGUGUGGUGCUGAAAGUAUAUUUUUGACGUUGUUUUGAUGCUUAACCGAAAAAUAUAUUUCCACAUAAUUUAAAAAUUAAAUUAAAUUAUCCAAAUUAACUUGAGUUUUCCACCUCAGUAUCCAGAUUAUUUCAAGUCAACUUCUUUUUGCAAUAAUUCAAAGGUCAGACCAUUUCUACAUGGCCAAAGACAAGCCAAAAAAUGUAAUAAUGGUAAGCAUUAAUCAAAGUAUAUGAAAAGUAAAAACUAUUCCGAAUUCUAAGUAGGAAACAUGACGAGGUACUAAUAAUUGGUACUAUGUUUCCUUGUAUUGUAUAUUAUCUCAUUGCCGUUGUUGUGUACAAAGCUUAUUUUGUGUAGUGGCCUUGGACCAAAAGAAUUGGUACAAAAAUGGUAGCUAUAAAUACAACAAGAUGGAUCCAUCAUCAACCGUCUUCUGUAAAAACUCUGAAUAUGAAAUCCCUGAAGCGUUUGGAGUAUUGCUUGGGAUCCACAGCUGAGAUAGAGGUCGGGUCGAACUGGAAUGACUUGUAGGCGUGCUCGAGCUUCUUGCUAAUAUCGUAGUCUUGCAGGAUGUCAAUGAUGCCGAAAAUGAGGACCACGUCGUAGUACUCCCCUGUCGGCUCUCCCACUAGCUGAGCCUCCCCAUUAUUUUUCCUUACUGUCAGCUCGGCUCGUGCAGGGAUGUUGGCACCUAGUUUGAAUGUUGUCGACCUGCCACAACCACUUGUCAUUUUUUCUGAUAGGAAUAAGAAGAUUGAUUGAUUUUGGGAAGCAUCUUACUGGCUGAGGUCCGGUGAUCCGUUGCCUAGAGGCGUUCGGGCACCCAUAAUUAGGGGCUCCCCGGCAUUGGACAGGUCUUUGAAGUGAAUGCCAACAAGAAGGCUGUAAUCCAUGAUUCUCUCUUGUUCAAAAAUCUCUGAACCAAGACUUGUGCAAACGGAAUAUGAAGUUCAAAUCGAGGUCCUUGAGGGUCAUGGUUGGUUCAAUCUCUGAUUCGGGCUUGUCAGUUAGGCGGCCGUGGGAGGAGCCUUUCAGAUCAAAGCGUCGGUGGAUGGCAUAUUCCGUGCAAAACAGAUUCCCAAUGAUCACAAACCGCACCUGCUUGAGUCAAUCACAUUAUGAGAAUGAAUGGAUGAUAUUAAUAGCAAAAUGAAUGUGUGUUCUUGUUGGUUACCUUCUUCUGCGCAGCGCCAGUCAACUUCACGCAAUGGAGACCGUAGAAUUUGGUGACAAGGGUGUUUUCAAACGCACGGACGUGCUUAUAGUAAUCUGAAAGCAUUCUGAUAAGCACCUGCUAAACAACCAUCUCUUAUGUUAUAUCUUGUAUGUUCAAGAUUUGAAAUUAAUAUAAUAGAUUUGAACUCA